rnacentral:rRNA from 1 species
AUUGAACGCUGGCGGAAUGCUUUACACAUGCAAGUCGAACGGCAGCACGGACUUCGGUCUGGUGGCGAGUGGCGAACGGGUGAGUAAUGUAUCGGAACGUGCCCAGUCGUGGGGGAUAACGUAGUGAAAAUUACGCUAAUACCGCAUGCGAUCUAUGGAUGAAAGCGGGGGAUCGAAAGAACUCGAGCGAUUGGAGCGCGCGAUACCAGAUUAGGUAGUUGGUGGGGUAAAGGCCCACCAAGCCAACGAUCUGUCGCUGGUCUGAGAGGACGACCAGCCACACUGGAACUGAGACACGGUCCAGACUCCGACGGGAGGCAGCAGUGGGGAAUUUUGGACAAUGUGCGAAAGCUUGAUCCAGCCAUUCCGCGUGCAGGAUGAAGGCCCUCGGGUUGUAAACUGCUUUUGUACAGAACGAUAAGGUUUCUACUAAUACUAGGAGCUCAUGACGGUACUGUAAGAAUAAGCACCGGCUAACUACGUGCCAGCCGCCGCUGUAA